rnacentral:rRNA from 1 species
UACAGAGGGUGCGAGCGUUGUCCGGAAUCACUGGGCGUAAAGGGCGCGUAGGUGGCGAGCCAAGUCCAUGGUGAAAGCUCGAUGCUCAACAUCGAGUCGGCCACGGAUACUGGUGCGCUUGGGCACUGUAGAGGCUAAUGGAAUUCCGGGUGUAGCGGUGGAAUGCGUAGAGAUCCGGAAGAACACCGGUGGCGAAGGCGGUUAGCUGGGCAGUUGCUGACACUGAGGCGCGACAGCGUGGGGAGCAAACAGG